ensembl:lncRNA
GCCCCCAAGGUCAGCGGGUCUCCAGGCACGAGAAGGUUUUCUAGGCGGGGCAAGGGGAACAGGAUGACACACCUUCCUGGCCCCGGAGACAAAUGCAGGUAAAGCUUUUGUGAGAUCUUAUCCUGUAUUCUCAGUGACCACACUACCUUCGUAGAUUAAGGUAUAUACGAUACAGCUUCUUUAGUGUGGAUUAGGUGGAAACAGUGGUCACAGAGCAGUUGUUUGUAGGAAGUUUGCACUCUCCAGUGGAAGACGAAAAUGGAAAGAGAUCAGAAUGGGGGUGCAUCUAGAUGCCCCAGGCGGCGCGCCAGGCCCGCAGAGUCAGCUCUGGACACUUCCUUACCGCUCAUGACGACACAGAUGCAGAAACUGAGAGCGAUCGUGUAGAAAUGUAACCAUUUGACAGUCACACUGAACCUCACGUGGAACAGAUGGAUUUUGUAUGAUUUGUGCCGCUUUGAAUUUUUACUUUUCUGGUAAGGAGGAGAAGGGUAUGACAGAGGAUGAGAUGACUGGAUGGCAUCACCGACUCAAUGGAUAUGAGUUUGAGCAGGUUCCGGGAGUUGAUGAUGGACAGAUGGACAGGGAAGCCUGGCGUGCUGCAGUCCGUGGGGUCACAAAGAGUUGGACACGACUGAGUGACUGAACUGAACUGAACUGAGUUUUGGAAGAUUAUACUUUUCUAAGAAUUUGUCCAUUUCUUCCAAGUUGUCCAUUUUAUUGGCAUGUAAUUGCUCAUAGCAAUCUCUUAUGAUCCUUGUAUUUCCUGUGUUGUCUGUUGUGAUUUCUCCAUUUUCAUUUCUAAUUUUAUUGAUUUGAUUCUUCUCCAUUUUUUCUUGAUGGGUCUGGCUACCGGUUUGUCUAUAUUAUUUAGCUUCUCAAAGAAUCAGCUUUUAGUUUUACGGAUCUUUAGUCUCCUUCAUUUCUUUUUCAUUUAUUUCUGCUCUAAUUUUUAUGAUUUCUUUCCUUCUACUAACUUUGGGCUUCUUCUGUUCUUUUUCUAGUUGCUUUAGCUGUAAAGUUAGGUUGUUUAUUUGAUGUUUCUCUUGUUUUCUGAGGUAGACUUGUGUUGCUAUGAACCUCCCUCUUAACACUGCUUGUCCUGAAUCCCAUAGGUUUGGGGUUGUUAUGUUUUCAUUUUCAUUAGGUUCUAUGCAUAUUUUGAUUUCUUUUUGAUUUCUUCCAUGAUCUGUUGGUUAUUCAGAAGUGUGUUAUUUAGCCUCUGUAUGUUUGUGUUUUUUAUAGUUGUUUUUUUUCCCCCUGUAGUUGACAUCUAAUCUUACCACAUUGUAAUCAGAAAAGAUGCUUGAAAUUAUUUCAAAUUUUAAAAAAUUUACCAAGGUUAGAUUUAUAGCCCAGGGUAUUUUUUUUAGAAUGACAUUUUGUAAGGAAGCUAUUAAGCCCACUCCUCCAUUUUUUUAGUAAAACAAAGCAUUAGAUUCCCUUUCUGAUUAUAUAAAGAAUGCAUCGUAUUUGUCCUUUUCAACCAAAAAUUCUAACAUAAACUCUGACAUUUAUGUUUCAGAAAUAAAACCUAGUUUUCUUACUCACUAUAGAAAAUACAGGAAGGCGCAG